AAUCACUCCAUUUUUACCUCACCCUUCAUGAAGUAGAACAUGGUCUUCUUCUUUCCUUCCUUGACCUCCAUUCGAAUUUGUUUCCAUGCAGUGUUCAUUCCUUUGCUUCAGGGGUAGAGUUUCAUGAUUCCUCACCUGCAUAGAACACCCAGAGCUCAUCACAAGAAGUACCCUCCCUAACAGCUGUCACCCAUUUAACCCCUCCCCUCCAAACCCCUGCCCUCUAGCAACCUUUGGUUUCUGCUGUAAGGUUGAGGACACAUCACCUUGGACAAAGGAGAAGCCAUCAUCCAAGCCUCGAUCUGACCACAAACAGCCACCUAC
rnacentral:lncRNA from 1 species